UACGGAGGGUGCAAGCGUUAUCCGGAUUCACUGGGUUUAAAGGGUGCGUAGGCGGGUAAGUAAGUCCGUGGUGAAAUCUCUGAGCUCAACUCAGAAACUGCCGUGGAUACUAUUUGCCUUGAAUAUUGUGGAGGUGAGCGGAAUAUGUCAUGUAGCGGUGAAAUGCUUAGAUAUGACAUAGAACACCAAUUGCGAAGGCAGCUCACUACACAAUCAUUGACGCUGAGGCACGAAAGCGUGGGGAUCAAACAGG
rnacentral:rRNA from 1 species